rnacentral:rRNA from 1 species
UACGUAGGGUGCAAGCGUUGUCCGGAAUCAUUGGGCGUAAAGCGCGCGUAGGUGGUCAUGUAAGUCCGCUGUGAAAGUCAAAGGCUCAACCUUUGAAAGCCGGUGGAUACUGCAUGACUAGAGUACGGAAGAGGCGAGUGGAAUUCCUGGUGUAGCGGUGGAAUGCGCAGAUAUCAGGAGGAACACCAAUAGCGAAGGCAGCUCGCUGGGACGUUACUGACACUGGAGGCGCGAAAGCCGUGGGGAGCGAACAGG